GUAAAUUUAGAAAAUGUUAGUAUUGUCGCCUAUGGCAGAAUAAAUAGUACCGUUUUCCCUUUACCUCGGUGUCAGGAGGUGAUGCCCAAAUCUUUGGUGGAAAUCUCGAAUUGCAGUCUAUAUAAAAUUCCACUAAUAUAUAAUCUGCAUAUAAUAACGUCAUGCAUAUAUCGUCUACCAUUCAUUUUCCAAAGGGUUCUUCAAUCUUAAUAUUUUAGCAGUAUUUGGCACAAC
rnacentral:lncRNA from 1 species